AUGAAGAAGAAGGGUGUUAGCAUUGUUGCAUUGUGGGAAAGAGCUUCAAAGGAAAAUAAAAGAACUUCCACAUCUACACCAAAUCCUCCUGAUGUUGAAGUUGAGAGCAGUAGCAUUCCUCCUGAUGUUGAGAGCAAUCUGCAACUGGCACUAGUGCAAGCACAUGAACCGGAUGAUAGUCACACAGAACCUGGGAGUGGCUCCCCAGCCCCAAUUAUAGAAGAUGAUGAAGCAAAUGAUGAAGUUCAAUUUGAAGUAGAUUUGGAUGCACUUGAGUCAGAUCCUGGGAAACGGAUCCCCAUCUCUAGGUACAAUGUCAAUGACCAGGAUAAAGUUAGAAGGAGAUACAUCGAGUUGGGGUCAUGUCAACCAAAGAAACAUAAUUUUGAGUACAGAGACAUAAGUGGAUUACAACAUCGCUUUUGUCCUUCUUGGUUUAAGGAUUACAAGUGGCUUGAGUAUAGUGUGAACAAAGAGGCUGCUUUCUGCUUUGUUUGCUAUUUGUUCAAGGAUAAAACAAAAAGCCCCGGUGGAGAUUCAUUUGUUAAGGGUGGGUUUAGAAACUGGAACAUGAAAGCAAGAUUGACAAGGCAUGUUGGUGAUGUAAGUAGUGCUCACGCUGAAGCUCAAGAGAAGUAUGAUAUGUUCACUACACCACAAACAUCAAUUCGGGAGUCUGUUGCUUCCAACACCUCACAAUACAAGGCUUUGUAUAAACAACGUUUGACAUGGACACUCAAGUGUGUGAGAUUUCUGUUGCGCCAAGGCUUGGCAUUUAGAGGACAUGAUGAAAGUGAAGACUCGCUAAAUAAAGGAAAUUUCCUUGAGCUUCUAAAUUGGCUAGCAGGAAAUUUUGAAGAGGUUGACAGGGUUGUUCUCAAGAAUGCUCCACGGAACUGCAAGAUGACUCACCAUGAUAUACAACAAGAGGUGAUAAAAUGUUGUGCACAAGAGACUACUAAACUAGUCAUUGAAGAACUUGAUGGUGGUCAUUUUGCAAUACUUGCAGAUGAGUCUAGUGAUGUGUAUCAGAAUGAACAGUUGGCUGUUUGCUUGCGUUAUGUUGAUAAGAAAGGAAGGGCGGCUGUAAGUUUUCUUGGUCUUGCUCAUGUUGAAGAUACUACCUCUCAGACACUAAAAGAUGCAAUUCAGAAAAUGCUUAUGGACUACAAUUUAACCUUUGCAAUGUAUGUUCAUUGUUUUGCCCAUCAACUACAGUUAACUCUUGUUGUUGUUGCUAAGGAGAGCGGUGAUUGUACUUGGUUCUUUUAGCAGCUUGCACACUUGUUAAAUGCUCUUGGCAUGUCUUGUAAAAAGAUGAGAAUGCUUCGGAUAGCUCAGGCUGAAGAACUCAUUAAUGCAUUGGAAUUGGAAGAAGUAGAAACAGGGGGGCUGAAUCAGGAAAUGGGUUUGGGAAGGCCAUGUGAUACACGUUGGGGCUCUCACUUCAAAACUGUGAACCAUGUCAUCUCUAUGUAUGGUGCACUAGGACGAGUCCUUCGCAAGAUUGGAGACGAGUACCAUGGUGCGGAGGCACAAGCGGCUCUAUCCAUAGAGACAAUAUUUCGAUCAUUUGAGUUUGUUUUCAUGGCACACUUGAUGCAAGAAAUAUUUGGAUACACAGAUGAGUUGUGUAGAGCUUUGCAAAAGCAAGACGAAGAUAUUGUUCAUGCUAUUGAGCUUGUUGGUGACACAAAGUAUUACUUGGAGGCUUUGAGGACCGAUGCUGGAUGGGAUGAUUUUCUCACAAAGGUCACAUCUUUUUGUACAAAGCAUAAGAUCAAAGUUGUUGAUAUGGAGGGUCCUUACUUUCCCGUUGGCCAGCCUAGAAGGGGUUUAUGUAAUGGUGUGAUCAAUUACCACCGCUUCAAGGUUGAUAUGUCUGUGGGUGUCAUUGAUAGGCAAAUCAGUGAGGUGAAUGGCAGAUUUGAUGAGGUAAACACGGAGCUACUUCAUUGCAUGGCAGCAUUUUGUCCACUUCAUCUAUUUGCUGCUUAUGACCAAGAUAAGUUGGUUAGGCUUGCUACAAAGUUUUAUGCUUCUGAUUUUACAAGUGAUGAACUGGCAAGACUUCCAUGGCAACUAAACAUGUAUGUUAUUAAUUUGAUUCUGCCAGUAGCUACUGCUAGGGUUGAAAGGGUGUUCUCUUCAAUGAGCCAUGUGAAGAAUAAGCUAAGGAACAAAAUGGGUGAUGAAUAUUUGAACAAUUGUUUGGUUACAUUUGUUGAGAGAGAAUUUUUCAAUCAAGUGAAGGAUGAAGAUGUCAUCAAUCUCUCCAAAAAGGCGACCGCAAAGUUAUAUUGUAAGAAGGAUAUCAUCACUUUAUCAAUCAAAAGGUACUUAUGUAUUCAUGUCGUUAUGGUCCAAUACAUUGAAAUAUUGCUAUUGCCGUUAUGCUAG
rnacentral:rRNA from 1 species